AUUGAACGCUGGCGGCAGGCCUAACACAUGCUAGUCGAGCGGAUGAAGGGAGCUUGCUCCUGGAUUCAGCGGCGGACGGGUGAGUAAUGCCUAGGAAUCUGCCUGGUCGUGGGGGAUAACGUCCGGAAACGGGCGCUAAUACCGCAUACGUCCUGAGGGAGAAAGUGGGGGAUCUUCGGACCUCACGCUAUCAGAUGAGCCUAGGUCGGAUUAGCUAGUUGGUGGGGUAAAGGCCUACCAAGGCGACGAUCCUUAACUGGUCUGAGAGGAUGACCAGUCACACUGGAACUGAGACUCGGUCCAGACUCCUACGGUGGGCAGCAGUGGGGAAUAUUGGACGAUGGGCGAGAGCCUGAUCCAGCCAUGCCGCGUGUGGGAAGAAGGUCUUCGGAUUGUAAAGCACUUUAAGUUGGGAGGAAGGACAGUAAGUUAAUACCUUACUGUUUUGACGUUACCAACAGAAUAAGCACCGGCUAACUUCGUG
rnacentral:rRNA from 1 species